AUUUUCCUAGCCCCUUGAUAAGCGGAGCGAGUUUUCACGGUGCUCGACAAGAAUUUACCCGUGUGGUGUUUGAAGCAAUAAAUGCACCCGCCCUUUUAGGUAACCGUGAUUGAGGGCUAUGAAGAAUUACUUGACUUGGACUAUGUGAAG